rnacentral:rRNA from 1 species
GGACGAACGCUGGCGGCGUGCUUAACACAUGCAAGUCGAGCGGUAAGGCCUUUCGGGGUACACGAGCGGCGAACGGGUGAGUAACACGUGGGUGAUCUGCCCUGCACUUCGGGAUAAGCCUGGGAAACUGGGUCUAAUACCGGAUAUGACCUCCUAUCGCGUGGUGGGUGGUGGAAAGAUUUAUCGGUGCAGGAUGGGCCCGCGGCCUAUCAGCUUGUUGGUGGGGUAAUGGCCUACCAAGGCGACGACGGGUAGCCGACCUGAGAGGGUGACCGGCCACACUGGGACUGAGACACGGCCCAGACUCCUACGGGAGGCAGCAGUGGGGAAUAUUGCACAAUGGGCGAAAGCCUGAUGCAGCGACGCCGCGUGAGGGAUGACGGCCUUCGGGUUGUAAACCUCUUUCAGCAGGGACGAAGCGCAAGUGACGGUACCUGCAGAAGAAGCACCGGCUAACUACGUGCCAGCAGCCGCGGUAAUACGUAGGGUGCAAGCGUUGUCCGGAAUUACUGGGCGUAAAGAGUUCGUAGGCGGUUUGUCGCGUCGUUUGUGAAAACCAGCAGCUCAACUGCUGGCUUGCAGGCGAUACGGGCAGACUUGAGUACUGCAGGGGAGACUGGAAUUCCUGGUGUAGCGGUGAAAUGCGCAGAUAUCAGGAGGAACACCGGUGGCGAAGGCGGGUCUCUGGGCAGUAACUGACGCUGAGGAACGAAAGCGUGGGUAGCGAACAG